GAUUCAAAAAGUUAAACAACUUGUCCAUCUGGUCAGUAGAAGAAACUGGGCCCCAAAUCAGGUCUUUUAAAGCCACGUCUGGUGACCAUCUCAGAGUUACUUCUACACGCUCUUUAACACCAAAGGUAGAAAAUAAAUACUAUGUCUCAUAGACCGAAUUGUAUCUUCUCCCAAACUCCCCAGGACCUCAGAAUGUGACUGGAUUUGGAGAGACGAUCUGUGAAAAGGUAAUUGAGUUAAUGUGAGGCCAGUAGGGUGGACCUUAAUCCAAUAUGAUUGCUGUUCUUAUAACAAGGGGAAUUUGAACACACAAAGAGGCACCAGGAAUGUGCACGCACAUUCCACACACGUAAGGACUUGGUGAGAAGGUUGUGUCCGACUCUUUGUGACCCCAGGGACUAUAUAUUCCAUGGAAUUCUCCAGGCCAGAAUACUGGAGUGGGUAGCCUUUCCUUUCUCCAGGGGACCUUCCCAACCUGGGGAUUGAACCCAGGUCUCCCGAACUGUAGGCAGAUUCUUUAUCCCAGGUCUCCUGAAUUGUAGGCAGAUUCUUUACCAGCUGAGCCACCAGGGAAGCCCCAGUGAGAAUGUGGCCCUCUGCAAACCCAGGAGAGAGGUCUCAGGAGAAGCCAAACCUGCUAACCCGCUGACCCCCUUUUCUUGGACUUCCAGACUCCAGAACUGGGAGAAGUUUCUGUUGUUAAGGCCGUAGUCUGUGGUGUUUUGUAAUGGCAGCACUAGCAGACUGAUACCCACUAAUACCAGAUAAAAGAGAGUGUACACCAGAACUAGGCACCCAACAUUAAUACAUGAACAAUGAAUGUAACCAUUUCUGUCCCAGGUUAAAGUCUCUCUUUCCCUCUCUCUCUCUCUCUCUCUCCCCCACAGCCAUCUCCUCCUCUCCCCCCAUAAAUAUAUGUAAAUUUUCAUCCUAGGAUAUAUAUUACUUCGAGCCUCAUCAGGAGAAAGAAACGACACAAUCGUUUGAACAUGAAGAGUUUACUAUGAAGAGUUAUCAACUACAAGAUAGAUUUGGAAUAAGAGGGACGUGGUUGCUAAUGAAUAAGCGGAGUCCUAAGGAAUAUACAUAUAGCAGAUAACCGGGAGCACUGGCCCUAAGGGCUGAUGGAGAGACCCCAAGGGCGAGCCUCCACCUCACCCAGCCCACCUUCGGGGCUGAGAUCCAGAGGGUUCUGCCAUGGCUCACCAGAUGACAAGAAAGUUAUUACGGUGCCACACUUAGGAGCUUGCCCCAAACCUGCCCUUUGGGGUGCCAGGGAAAGUCCUUCACAAGGGGAAAAAAGAAGAGUUUUCAUCAACCCCUAGACUAGUAGGUCUGUGGGGAGGGGAGGAUGAAGUUAUUGAGGUUAUCUGCCCUUUUACGAAUGAGGAAAUGAAGACUUGUCCAGGUUAUCUGACUUAUGCAGCCACUGAGCCAUUUAGAGGUAGGACAGCUGUCUGUGUGAAAUGUGUGUGUGAUGUUACACGCUCCCCCAGUCCUUACCACGUCCCCUGAUCACAGACUUCUAACGCG
ensembl:lncRNA